AUGGCAGCAUUUGGAAGCAAUCCGGAGAAGGACUUGGAUCUAUGCAUUGUUUCACAGUUUGUGUCCAAUUCACUCUGGAUUUGAACUGGUUGACAUUCUUUGAAAAUCUGCUUUGAAUGCUGCCAAUGAGAAUAAACUUCACAGUUGAGGAUUAUUGACAAAUCUGCUCGAAAAAGACACAUGAAGAACAUCCUUUAUGGUCCAUCUUGUGGUAAAACACGGGUAUUUCUUUGCUCAUUUGAGUGUCAGUGGAUUAUUCCUGCUGGUGCAAUGUUUUCAAGAGAUAAAAUACUCCCCACUGUGCUACAUGCAAA